rnacentral:rRNA from 1 species
GAUGAACGCUGGCGGCGUGCCUAAUACAUGCAAGUCGAGCGAACGGACGAGAAGCUUGCUUCUCUGAUGUUAGCGGCGGACGGGUGAGUAACACGUGGAUAACCUACCUAUAAGACUGGGAUAACUUCGGGAAACCGGAGCUAAUACCGGAUAAUAUUUUGAACCGCAUGGUUCAAAAGUAAAAGACGGUCUUGCUGUCACUUAUAGAUGGAUCCGCGCUGCAUUAGCUAGUUGGUAAGGUAACGGCUUACCAAGGCAACGAUGCAUAGCCGACCUGAGAGGGUGAUCGGCCACACUGGAACUGAGACACGGUCCAGACUCCUACGGGAGGCAGCAGUAGGGAAUCUUCCGCAAUGGGCGAAAGCCUGACGGAGCAACGCCGCGUGAGUGAUGAAGGUCUUCGGAUCGUAAAACUCUGUUAUUAGGGAAGAAUAUAUGUGUAAGUAACUGUGCACAUCUUGACGGUACCUAAUCAGAAAGCCACGGCUAACUACGUGCCAGCAGCCGCGGUAAUACGUAGGUGGCAAGCGUUAUCCGGAAUUAUUGGGCGUAAAGCGCGCGUAGGCGGUUUUUUAAGUCUGAUGUGAAAGCCCACGGCUCAACCGUGGAGGGUCAUUGGAAACUGGAAAACUUGAGUGCAGAAGAGGAAAGUGGAAUUCCAUGUGUAGCGGUGAAAUGCGCAGAGAUAUGGAGGAACACCAGUGGCGAAGGCGACUUUCUGGUCUGUAACUGACGCUGAUGUGCGAAAGCGUGGGGAUCAAACAGGAUUAGAUACCCUGGUAGUCCACGCCGUAAACGAUGAGUGCUAAGUGUUAGGGGGUUUCCGCCCCUUAGUGCUGCAGCUAACGCAUUAAGCACUCCGCCUGGGGAGUACGACCGCAAGGUUGAAACUCAAAGGAAUUGACGGGGACCCGCAUAAGCGGUGGAGCAUGUGGUUUAAUUCGAAGCAACGCGAAGAACCUUACCAAAUCUUGACAUCCUUUGACAACUCUAGAGAUAGAGCCUUCCCCUUCGGGGGACAAAGUGACAGGUGGUGCAUGGUUGUCGUCAGCUCGUGUCGUGAGAUGUUGGGUUAAGUCCCGCAACGAGCGCAACCCUUAAGCUUAGUUGCCAUCAUUAAGUUGGGCACUCUAAGUUGACUGCCGGUGACAAACCGGAGGAAGGUGGGGAUGACGUCAAAUCAUCAUGCCCCUUAUGAUUUGGGCUACACACGUGCUACAAUGGACAAUACAAAGGGCAGCGAAACCGCGAGGUCAAGCAAAUCCCAUAAAGUUGUUCUCAGUUCGGAUUGUAGUCUGCAACUCGACUACAUGAAGCUGGAAUCGCUAGUAAUCGUAGAUCAGCAUGCUACGGUGAAUACGUUCCCGGGUCU